rnacentral:rRNA from 1 species
AUUGAACGCUGGCGGCAGGCCUAACACAUGCAAGUCGAGCGGAGCGGCGGACGGGUGAGUGAGGCCUAGGAAUCUGCAUGGUAGUGGGGGAUAACGUCCGGUAACGGGAGCUAAUACCGCAUCCUAUCGGACGAGCCUAGGUCGUAUUAGCUAGUUGGGGGGGUAAGGGCCUACCAAGGCGACGAUCCGUAUCUGGUCUGAGAGGAUGAUCAGCCACACUGGAACUGAGACACGGUCCAGACUCCUACGGGAGGCAGCAGUGGGGAAUAUUGGACAAUGGGCGAAAGCCUGAUCCAGCCAUGCCGCGUGUGUGAAGAAGGUCUUCGGAUUGUAAAGCACUUUAAGUUGGGAGGCGUUACCAACAGAAUAAGCACCGGCUAACUUCGUGCCAGCCGCCGCGGUAAUAC